AUGCAGUCGAGCGGGGUUUUCGGACCUAGCUGCGGACGGGUGAGUAAUGCGUAGUAAGCUACCCGAUAGAGGGGGAUACCAGUUGGAAACGACUGUUAAUACCGCAUAAUGUCUACGGACCAAAGUGUGGGACCUUCGGGCCACAUGCUAUCGGAUGCGCCUACGUGGGAUUAGCUAGUUGGUGGGGUAAUGGCUCACCAAGGCGACGAUCCCUAGCUGGUUUGAGAGGAUGAUCAGCCACACUGGAACUGAGACACGGUCCAGACUCCUACGGGAGGCAGCAGUGGGGAAUAUUGGACAAUGGGCGCAAGCCUGAUCCAGCCAUGCCGCGUGUGUGAAGAAGGCCUUCGGGUUGUAAAGCACUUUCAGCGAGGAGGAAGGGAGUUGUGUUAAUAGUACAGCUUCUUGACGUUACUCGCAGAAGAAGCACCGGCUAACUCUGUGCCAGCAGCCGCGGUAAUACAGAGGGUGCAAGCGUUAAUCGGAAUUACUGGGCGUAAAGCGCACGUAGGCGGUUUUUUAAGUCAGAUGUGAAAGCCCCGGGCUCAACCUGGGAAUUGCAUUUGAAACUGGAAAACUAGAGUGUGUGAGAGGGGGGUAGAAUUCCA
rnacentral:rRNA from 1 species